GGCGCCAUCGUCUAGCGGUUAGGACAUCGCCCUCUCACGGCGAAAACAGGGGUUCGAUUCCCCUUGGCGCUACCA
rnacentral:tRNA from 1 species